rnacentral:rRNA from 1 species
GGGCCCGCACAAGCGGUGGAGUAUGUGGUUUAAUUCGAUGCAACGCGAAGAACCUUACCAGGGUUUGACAUCCUGCGAACCUCUUGGAAACGAGAGGGUGCCUUCGGGAACGCAGUGACAGGUGGUGCAUGGCUGUCGUCAGCUCGUGUCGUGAGAUGUUGGGUUAAGUCCCGCAACGAGCGCAACCCACGUCUUUAGUUGCCAGCAUUUAGUUGGGCACUCUAGCGAGACUGCCGGUGAUAAGCCGGAGGAAGGCGGGGAUGACGUCAAGUCCUCAUGGCCCUUAUGGGCUGGGCUACACACGUGCUACAAUGGCAGUGACAGAGGGACGCUACCAGGUGACUGGAUGCAAAUCUCAAAAAGCUGUCUCAGUUCGGAUUGUUGUCUGCAACUCGACAACAUGAAGUCGGAAUCGCUAGUAAUCGCGUAUC